GACGAACGCUGGCGGCGUGCUUAACACAUGCAAGUCGAACGGAAAGGCCCUGCUUUUGUGGGGUGCUCGAGUGGCGAACGGGUGAGUAACACGUGAGUAACCUGCCCUUGACUUUGGGAUAACUUCAGGAAACUGGGGCUAAUACCGGAUAGGAGCUCCUGCUGCAUGGUGGGGGUUGGAUAGUUUCGGCGGUUGGGGAUGGACUCGCGGCUUAUCAGCUUGUUGGUGGGGUAGUGUCUUACCAAGGCUUUGACGGGUAGCCGGCCUGAGAGGGUGACCGGCCACAUUGGGACGGAGAUACGGCCCAGACUCCUACGGGAGGCAGCAGUGGGGAAUAGUGCACAAUGGGCGGAAGCCUGAUGCAGCAACGCCGCGUGCGGGAUGACGGCCUUCGGGUUGUAAACCGCUUUCGCCUGUGACGAAGCGUGAGUGACGGUAAUGGGUAAAGAAGCACCGGCUAACUACGUG
rnacentral:rRNA from 1 species